rnacentral:rRNA from 1 species
CCUACGGGACGCAGCAGUGGGGGAUAUUGCACAAUGGGGGGAACCCUGAUGCAGCGACGCCGCGUGGGUGAAGGAGCGUUUCGGCGCGUAAAGCCCUAUCGGCAGGGAAGAAGGAGGACGGUACCUGACUAAGAAGCCCCGGCUAACUACGUGCCAGCAGCCGCGGUAAUACGUAGGGGGCAAGCGUUAUCCGGAUUUACUGGGUGUAAAGGGAGCGUAGACGGCAGUGCAAGUCUGAAGUGAAAGGCAAGGGCUCAACCCUUGGACUGCUUUGGAAACUGUGCUGCUCGAGUGUCGGAGAGGCA